GCCGAAGUGGCGGAAUGGCAGACGCAGGGGACUUAAAAUCCCCCGGCUAACACCGUACGGGUUCGAGUCCCGUCUUCGGCA
rnacentral:tRNA from 1 species